rnacentral:rRNA from 1 species
GACGAACGCUGGCGGCAUGCUUAACACAUGCAAGUCGAACGGGAAGUGGUGUUUCUAGUGGCGACCGGGUGAGUAACGCGUAAGAACCUGCCGUUGGGAGGGGAACCACAACUGGGAACGGUUGCUAAUACACCGGAGGCUGAGGAGCAAAAGGAGACAUCCGCCAAAGGAGGGGCUCGCGACUGAUUAGCUAGGUGGUGAGGUAAUCGCUUACCCAGGCGAUGAUCAGCAGCUGGUCCGAGGGGAUGAUCAGCCACACGGGGACUGAGACACGGCCCAGACUCCUGCGGGAAGCAGCGGUGGGGAAUUUUCCGCAAUCGGCGAAAGCCUGACGGAGCAAUGCCGCGUGGAGGUGGGAGGCCUGCGGGUAGUCAACUUCUGUUUGCGGAGAAGAAACAGUGACGGUAUCUGAGGAAUAAGCAUCGGCUAACUCUGUG